CCUACGGGAGGCAGCAGUAGGGAAUCUUCCACAAUGGGCGCAAGCCUGAUGGAGCAACACCGCGUGAGUGAAGAAGGGUUUCGGCUCGUAAAGCUCUGUUGUUGGAGAAGAACGUGCGUGAGAGUAACUGUUCACGCAGUGACGGUAUCCAAGCAGAAAGUCACGGCUAACUACGUGCCAGCAGCCGCGGUGAUACGUAGGUGGCAAGCGUUAUCCGGUUUUAUUGGGCGUAAAGCGAGCGCAGGCGGGUGCUGAGGUCUGAUGUGAAAGCCUUCGGAUUAACCGAAGAAGUGCAUCGGAAACCGGGCAACUUGAGUGCAGAAGAGGACAGAGGAACUCCAUGUGUAGCGGUGGAAUGCGUAGAUAUAUGGAAGAACACCAGUGGCGAAGGCGGCUCUCUGGUCUGCAACUGACGCUGAGGCUCGAAAGCAUGGGUAGCGAACAGGAUUAGAUACCCCUGUAGUC
rnacentral:rRNA from 1 species